AUUGAACGCUGGCGGCAGGCCUAACACAUGCAAGUCGAACGAGUGGCGGACGGGUGAGUAAUGUCUGGGAAACUGCCUGAUGGAGGGGGAUAACUACUGGAAACGGUAGCUAAUACCGCAUACCAUCAGAUGUGCCCAGAUGGGAUUAGCUAGUUGGGGGGGUAACGUCUCACCAAGGCGACGAGCUCUAGCUGGUCUGAGAGGAUGACCAGCCACAUGGGAACUGAGACACGGUCCAGACUUCUACGGGAGGCAGCAUUGGGGAAUAUUGCACAAGGGGCGCAAGCCUGAGGCAGCCAUGCGGCGUGUAUGAAGAAGGCCUUCGGGUUGUAAAGUACUUUAAGCGGGGAGGCGUUACCCAAAGAAGAAGCACCGGCUAACUCCGUGCCAGCAGCCGCGGUAAUAC
rnacentral:rRNA from 1 species